rnacentral:rRNA from 1 species
UUUAACUGAAGAGUUUGAUCAUGGCUCAGAUUGAACGCUGGCGGCAGGCUUAACACAUGCAAGUCGAGCGGGGGGAGGUAGCUUGCUACCGGACCUAGCGGCGGACGGGUGAGUAAUGCUUAGGAAUCUGCCUAUUAGUGGGGGACAACAUCUCGAAAGGGAUGCUAAUACCGCAUACGUCCUACGGGAGAAAGCAGGGGAUCUUU